GGGCGUGUGGCUCAGUUGGUAGAGCGCCCGCUUAGCAAAGAUAAAUCACCAGAUUUUCAGAAGCAAUGCGGAAGGUCCCCGGUUCGAUUCCGGGCUCGUCCA